UACAGGGGGUGCAAACGUUGCUCGGAAUUAUUGGGCGUAAAGCGCACGUAGGCGGUCUAUCAAGUCGGAUGUGAAAGCCCCGGGCUCAACUCGGGAAGUGCAUUCGAAACUGACAGGCUUGAAUAUGGAAGAGGGUCGCGGAAUUCCCGGUGUAGAGGUGAAAUUCGUAGAUAUCGGGAGGAACACCAGUGGCGAAGGCGGCGACCUGGGCCAAUAUUGACGCUGAGGUGCGAAAGCGUGGGGAGCAAACAGG
rnacentral:rRNA from 1 species